AGAGAUUUGCUAUUGGAAGGUGGGAGCCUCAUCGAAGAGGGGCCUCGCAAGUGGAUGUAGGUCAUUUGACCGAACUACUCUAAAAUCGGCGUGAUCUCUAGUUUGCAUUUCAUUAUUGCUAUAUACAUUACUGCAAACCUUCUUACAUGCUUUAGUUCCUUAUUACCUUUGCUGCGCAACUUUAAGAAUACGCUUUCAAGUUAAGCUUUUCAAGUUCCGUUCUUA
rnacentral:lncRNA from 1 species